GGCACGGCGCGCACGCCCCAGCCCGGCACUCUAGUCACGACCGCCCCACCAUACACUACCCUAUACACAAGUACACUACCCAUAACCGUGUAAGUACACGUGAAACAGUGCGCGCGUUACCGGCAUCGACGCUGCGAGGACCGCGCCGCGACGUUAACCUCUCACCGUCAGUCAAAAACGAUCCAAAUUGAUAGUGUGAUAAUAAAUAACAUGAUAUGUGACAUCAGACAAGUGUUUAACGAAUAGCUUGAGCGGCGGCGGCUUGUCUACGUCAUGCUAUGGGAGUGUAGCUGCCCCCACCGGACGACCGACUCGCCACAAUGCGGCUCGUUAGCAGUCAACGCAGCGCCCAACUGAAAGGAUCUUUCCAGAGUGUGCAAACACUUCGUCAUGCCACCUAA